rnacentral:misc_RNA from 1 species
CCAAACUUGGUCAUUUAGAGGAAGUAAAAGUCGUAACAAGGUCUCCGUUGGUGAACCAGCGGAGGGAUCAUUACAGAGUCUGGCACUCGCAAAACCCACCUGUGAACCUACCGAUCUGUCCCGUUGCCUCGGCGGGCGACCCCAGGGCGGGGUCCCCCGGCGGCCAGCGAUGGCGCGCCCGCCGCGAGGCCCCCUAAAACACCCCCGUAUCUAGCGUCGCUCUGAGCACCGACACGCUAAGAAUAGCGGUCAAAAGAAAAAAAACUUUCAACAACGGAUCUCUUGGCUCCGGCAUCGAUGAAGAACGCAGC